UUUUUUAUGGUUCAGUGCAUUUUUGUACAUUUUUUAUGUUAUACAUAAAAAUAUGUAUAACAUUUUGAAAAUUGAGCAAAAUAACAUCUGCGUCAAGUUAAAUUUUCCGAUUUUGUUCUACUUCCUCGUUCGAGGCCAUGGGAAAUCGCAGCGUCCGCUUUGUGACUAAACUACUGUGAGCGUAGGCACCGCAGGUACAUGAAUAGAAAAUCCUAGCUAUCUCCAAACACCUCAGAGAUUACAAGAUGAGACUGAAGCGUAGCUGACCCCUCGACAAUCUCACUACUUGACAUCGGUCUCCAAGGAGUCCACCUCAUUCAUCAUAUGGAUGUGUAUACUGAGUGUACCAAAUUCUAUAGUGCACCCAUUUAAUUCAUACAUCAUUAUCAACCCUGGGUGCAGGUGUUUUUGAAAAAAAAAAAAAAAAAAUUUGUAAGUAUGUCGGGUUCGAAUGCAGGGCCGAUG